GACUAAACCAGGUCUAAACCAGGUCUAAACCAGGACUAAACCAGGUCUAAACCAGACUAAACCAGGACUAAACCAGACUAAACCAGGACUAAACCAGGACUAAACCAGGUCUAAACCAGGUCUAAACCAGGACUAAACCAGGUCUAAACCAGACUAAACCAGGACUAAACCAGGACUAAACCAGGUCUAAACCAGACUAAACCAGGACUAAACCAGACUAAACCAGACUAAACCAGGACUAAACCAGGACUAAACCAGACUAAACCAGGACUAAACCAGGUCUAAACCAGGACUAAACCAGGACUAAACCAGGACUAAACCAGGUCUAAACCAGGACUAAACCAGGUCUAAACCAGGACUAAACCAGGUCUAAACCAGGACUAAACCAGGUCUAAACCAGGACUAAACCAGACUAAACCAGACUAAACCAGGACUAACAGAUCUUUAAAAGCACUAACUUUUGUUCUUGUUGCCGUGACAAUCGUCUGUAAAGUUUUUAUUAAAAUUCUUUAUUGUGA